UGCUUAACACAUGCAAGUCGAACGAUGAAGCCCAGCUUGCUGGGUGGAAGAGUGGCGAACGGGUGAGUAACACGUGAGUAACCUGCCCUUGACUCUGGGAUAAGCGCUGGAAACGGCGUCUAAUACUGGAUACGACCUAUCACCGCAUGGUGUGUGGGUGGAAAGAUUUAUCGGUUUUGGAUGGACUCGCGGCCUAUCAGCUUGUUGGUGAGGUAAUGGCUCACCAAGGCGACGACGGGUAGCCGGCCUGAGAGGGUGACCGGCCACACUGGGACUGAGACACGGCCCAGACUCCUACGGGAGGCAGCAGUGGGGAAUAUUGCACAAUGGGCGCAAGCCUGAUGCAGCAACGCCGCGUGAGGGAUGACUGCCUUCGGGUUGUAAACCUCUUUUAGUAGGGAAGAAGCGAAAGUGACGGUACCUGCAGAAAAAGCACCGGCUAACUACGUGCCAGCAGCCGCGGUAAUACGUAGGGUGCAAGCGUUGUCCGGAAUUAUUGGGCGUAAAGAGCUCGUAGGCGGCUUGUCGCGUCUGCUGUGAAAUCCCGGGGCUCAACUCCGGGUCUGCAGUGGGUACGGGCAGGCUAGAGUGCGGUAGGGGAGAUUGGAACUCCUGGUGUAGCGGUGGAAUGCGCAGAUAUCAGGAAGAACACCGAUGGCGAAGGCAGAUCUCUGGGCCGCUACUGACGCUGAGGAGCG
rnacentral:rRNA from 1 species